CAGAAGACAACAGGGGGUAAAGAAGGGCACAGCACAGGAGGAGGGGCAAAAGAAGGGUACACUAGUGGAGUGAGAAAAUAAAGAGCACAACACAGGAGGAGAGCAAAAGAAGGGCAUGGGAGAGGAGGGAGGACAAAAGAGCACAGGAGAGGGGAAAGAAGGGCAAAGGAGGAGACAAAAAGACACACAAAGGGGCUGAAGGGCACAAAGAGACACAGGGAGAGUGAGGGG